CGUUAAAGCAGCAAAGCACAUCUCACACGAAGAAGAAUGCCAAAAGGAAGCUUUCGUUUUUGCUUUCCACGUCCUUCUUUUCUCGAGGAUUUAUAGUUGUUUGAGAUAAACCACAACUAGUUCAGUUGACUGGUCAAAACCAAUGUACGAUAAACGUUGAAUUCGCAAGACAUUGCACUACAGCUACGCACUAAACAGAAAGGAGACGGAAAGUUGCUACCCGCGUUUGAGCCUCUUCAGAAGUGACAUCUAUCGACGAGAAAUACUGGGGGAUUUCUAGGGUUUGCCCUAAAGGAAGAGUAAUCACAAUUAAAACAUCAGGUUUGCGAUGGCAAUAUCUGAAUUGUGGCCCAGCACUUCAAACAAGGCAGGCCAUAUAUAACGAGGUUUACAUCAUUGUAUUAUGCUCAAAUGUCACAUUUUCCUACGGAGUUGGGGGAAUUGAUGAUUGAUUUUAUAAUCAAAGACUUUUAAGGAUAGAUUUUUAAUUCUUUUUGGAAUUUUCUAUUUUAUUGAGCUUGGUAGAGUUGCCAUUUUAGAAAUAUUGUUACCAG
rnacentral:lncRNA from 1 species